CUGUAUUUCUGUAUUAAGUAUUGUUUUCAAUGAAAACGUUUGACGACCUUGUUGAAUAUGCAACGGUAGAUUUUAGUUAUAAUUAGAUAUAUUAAUACAUUAUUUAAAGUUAUCACUGGGAACCGCUGACUUGUAGCGAUAAUAUUAUUUUUAAUAUUAUAAUAAUAUAUACCUAAUGUUUUUGUUUAAUUAAAAUAAAAAAAUGUGAGUUUUACAUAGCUAAUGUAUGGGAACUUAAAUAUAAAUAACACCUAUUCAAAGUUAAAACAUUAAUUGAUUGUUCUAAAAAAUCGUGGGAUUGUUUAUGGCAUAAAAAUGUUAAUGUUAAAAAUAAUCGAAAAUUCGAAUUAGUCGUUGUGUAUAUCUCCAAAGAGUAUUUUAAGUUUUUGUCUUAUAGGAAAUACAAUCAAACGAAAUGGUUUCGUUUCAGCAGGUAAACAAAUUCUUAACUCGACAUUUCAAUUAUUAUGACUAGAGGUAUAAGCAAAAAAAAAAACCAUGUACAUUUUUAAAACCCUUUGUAUUGGUUAAAUUAAAAAAACUAAACUAAAGUAAACUAAACCAUUGAUAAAAACUGAUUUUAAAGUAAUAAUAAGUCUUAAAAGUUUGGUAUGUUCUUACCAAACGGUAAGACAAAAUUAAAAAAAAUCAAACACGUAUUAGAUUUUAUUAGAAAAAUAGCAUAUUAAGGCUAACAAAGUUGUGUGUAUAUAUAAUUUUUUUUUUAUAGCACUAAAUAUAGCACUACAUUUAACAAAAAUAAUACCAGGAAUCAUGAUAAAUAAUAAUUCUAAUUUAUGGACACGAUAUUUUCAGAUGUCAGGCACAAUGGGCGAUACAAGCCUAAAUAACAUUGUUGUUAUACUUAUAGCGGUAACAUUAUUUUUAUUAGUUCUAUAUUAUAAAAUAGUAAACCGCAGAAAGACAUCAUUGGCAAAGCGGAUACCAGGUUCAGAUGGAACCUUUUUCGUGGGUUUGUUACCUGUUUUACUUGGAGGAGCUGAAAAAAUAUUGACGAAUGUUUUGAAAUUGUGUAGAAAAUACGAAAAUACCUUAAUCAAAUUUUGGAUUUUAAACGACUUAUACAUAUUUCUUAACAACCCUGAAGAUAUAGAAGUGGCUCUUAACAAUCCUGAUCUGUUUAACAAAGCUAAACAUUAUAAGGUGAUAAACGAAUCAGUUGGGGGCAAUGGAAUAUUUCCAAACAGGAAUUUUCAGGAAUGGAAAAAGAACAGGAAAUUGGUAACUGCGGGGUUAAAAUAUUCGAUGCUUAAAUCGUUUGUGCCAAUACUUUACGAGGAAGCAAAAUUCUUGGGUGAACUAUUGUAC